rnacentral:rRNA from 1 species
AGAGUUUGAUCCUGGCUCAGAACGAACGCUGGCGGCGUGCCUAACACAUGCAAGUCGAACGAGAAAGCCUUUCGGGGUUAGUAUAGUGGCGCACGGGUGAGUAAUAGAUAGGAACGUACCGAGAAGUGAGGAAUAACUACGGGAAACUGUGGCUAAUACCGCAUGAGAUCGAAAGAUGAAAGGAGGCGACCCGCAAGGGGCUUCCGCUUUUCGAGCGGCCUAUCUCCCAUUAGCUAGUUGGUGGGGUAAAGGCCUACCAAGGCAACGAUGGGUAGCUGGUCUGAGAGGAUGAUCAGCCACACUGGAACUGAGACACGGUCCAGACUCCUACGGGAGGCAGCAGUGGGGAAUCUUGCACAAUGGGCGAAAGCCUGAUGCAGCAACGCCGCGUGAGUGAAGAAGGUCCUUGGAUUGUAAAGCUCUUUCGGCUAGGAAGAAGGGAUUACCGGUUAAUACCCGGAGAUUUUGACGGUACUAGAAGAAGAAGCACUGGCUAAUUCCGUGCCAGCAGCCGCGGUAAUACGGAAGGUGCGAGCGUUGUUCGGAAUAACUGGGCGUAAAGAGCACGUAGGCGGUUCUGUAAGUCGAUUGUGAAAGCCCUGGGCUUAACCUAGGAACAGCAGUCGAAACUAUAGAUCUUGAAUACUUCAGGGGUUGGUGGAAUUCCAGGUGUAGGGGUGAAAUCCGUAGAUAUCUGGAGGAACAUCGGAGGCGAAGGCGGCCGACUGGGGAUGUAUUGACGCUGAGGUGCGAAAGCGUGGGUAGCAAACAGGAUUAGAUACCCUGGUAGUCCACGCUGUAAACGAUGGAUACUAGGUGUUUGGGGGCGUUAACCCCCUGAGUACUGAAGCUAACGCAUUAAGUAUCCCGCCUGGGGAGUACGGUCGCAAGGCUAAAACUCAAAGGAAUUGACGGGGGCCCGCACAAGCGGUGGAGUAUGUGGUUUAAUUCGAUGCAACGCGCAGAACCUUACCUACCCUUAACAUCCCACGAAGCAUGCAGAGAUGUAUGUGUCUUUUCGGAGACGUGGAGAUAGGUGCUGCAUGGCUGUCGUCAGCUCGUGUCGUAAGAUGUCUGGUUAAGUCCAAUAACGAGCGCAACCCUUGUCUUUAGUUACCAUCAUUAAGUUGGGGACUCUAAAGAGACUGCCGGUGUUAAACCGGAGGAAGGCGGGGAUGACGUCAAGUCCUCAUGGCCCUUACGGGUAGGGCUACACACGUACUACAAUGGCAGAAACAAACUGAAGCGAAGCCGCGAGGUGGAGCCAAUCGGUAAAACACUGUCUCAGUCCGGAUUGAAGUCUGCAACUCGACUUCAUGAAGCUGGAAUCGCUAGUAAUCGCUGAUCAGCAAGCAGCGGUGAAUACGUUCCCGGGCCUUGUACACACCGCCCGUCACACCACGAAAGUGGUCGUAACCAGAAGCAGAUGAGCUAACUUCGGAGGCAGUCUACCAAGGUUUUGGCUGCGAUUGGGGUGAAGUCGUAACAAGGUA